rnacentral:rRNA from 1 species
AUUGAACGCUGGCGGCAUGCCUUACACAUGCAAGUCGAACGGUAACGGGCCUUCGGGUGCCGACGAGUGGCGAACGGGUGAGUAAUACAUCGGAACGUGCCCGAUCGUGGGGGAUAACGAGGCGAAAGCUUUGCUAAUACCGCAUACGAUCUACGGAUGAAAGCAGGGGACCGCAAGGCCUUGCGCGGACGGAGCGGCCGAUGGCAGAUUAGGUAGUUGGUGGGAUAAAAGCUUACCAAGCCGACGAUCUGUAGCUGGUCUGAGAGGAUGAUCAGCCACACUGGGACUGAGACACGGCCCAGACUCCUACGGGAGGCAGCAGUGGGGAAUUUUGGACAAUGGGCGCAAGCCUGAUCCAGCCAUGCCGCGUGCAGGAUGAAGGCCUUCGGGUUGUAAACUGCUUUUGUACGGAACGAAAAGCCUCCUUUUAAUACAGGAGGGUCAUGACGGUACCGUAAGAAUAAGCACCGGCUAACUACGUG